CGCUGUUCUCAUCGCAGGGCAGCAGCUCCGAGCAGGUCUCCCCUCGCUGGCGGGCGCAGGUCAGGCAGCAGGCGCAGCCAUCCAGGACCGCAGGCACGCCCGGUGGGCAGGUAGGCGGGUCUGCGGGACACUCGCACGGCAGCCGGCACCUGCUGCGCUCCUGGCCACACACCUCCUGCAAAGGGCAAAGCAGGAGGCAGCAGCAUCAGUACAACAAGCCCCUUUCGCUUCCAGGCACAGCCACAGUAAUUGUUUUGUGUAAGAAUGCAUAGUAAUGCCAACAGUUUCCGAAGUAUCUUCUCUCAGAAGUCUUGCACGCUUCCGUGAUUGCUGCAGAGUGCCAAAGGAGUAGGUGCUGAAGAAAUAAGGUUGGGCCUUACUUCAAAAUGCUGCGGUUGUCAGUUAUGCCUCAUGCCUUCCUGGCCAUCAGGCUACUGGGCUGUUCCUGCCCUGAUUGGCCCAUCCACUCCUGGUGCUGCCCAUUACACCCGUUCAUGGUUUCUCAAGCAAAUACAUAUCGUAUGGAGCAUAAGGUGAUGACAGAUUGAGAUGGCGUGACCCACACUUACAAAUCUGGAAAUAUAGAGCCACAUCGCUCUCCAUCUCUUGCUGGAGAGGUCUCAGCAAGAGCAGUUUAAGCAGUCCAUUGGCGUGUGAGGAAGAAGGUGGAGGAGGGUGCAUGUGCUGCACAGUGGCUAUCGCUGGUUUUUUAAAAAAGGAGGUAGAGAGUUGCCAGCUAUCUAGGGCUGCAGUUGUAACCACGUCCAGCUCUAGCUGAAAAGAACAGACCCAGGGGAAGGAAGCUGGAGAGGGGCUUGCUAAGCUAUACCCACCUGAAGUGAUGACAUCAUUGAGAGCAGCCUAUCCAUUUGUUUAUUUAUUUAUGUAAAAUAUUUCUAUACUGCCCAAAACUUGCGUCUCUGGGUGGUUUACAAUUAAAAUGAUUUAAAACAUCAAAUCAGUUAACAAACAAAAUCAUUAAAAACAUGAAAACCAUUUAAAACCUGGUAUUAACGUUUUUUAUAACUAUAAAUUAAUUAAAAGCCUGGGUGAAUAAAAGUUGCCUUUUGAAAAGUUGCCAGAGAUGGGGAGGCUCUUAUUUCAACAGG